rnacentral:rRNA from 1 species
AAGGGCUGGGCAAGACCGGUGCCAGCCGCCGCGGUAAUACCGGCAGCCCAAGUGAUGGCCGAUAUUAUUGGGCCUAAAGCGUCCGUAGCUGGCCGGACAAGUCCGUUGGGAAAUCCGCACGCUUAACGCGCGGGCGUCCAGCGGAAACUGUCCGGCUUGGGACCGGAAGACCCGAGGGGUACGUCCGGGGUAGGAGUGAAAUCCUGUAAUCUCGGACGGGCCACCUGUGGCGAAAGCGCCUCGGGAAGACGGAUCCGACAGUGAGGGACGAAAGCCAGGGUCUCGAACCGGAUUAGAUACCCGGGUAGUCCUGGCCGUAAACGAUGUCCGCUAGGUGUGACGCAGGCUACGAGCCUGCGCUGUGCCGUAGGGAAGCCGUGAAGCGG